GCGGAAGCUUGCUUCUGCGCUGACGAGUGGCGGACGGGUGAGUAACGCAUAGGAAUCUGCCCAGUAGUGGGGGACAACACGGAGAAAUCCGUGCUAAUACCGCAUACGUCCUACGGGAGAAAGCGGGGGCUCUUCGGACCUCGCGCUAUUGGAUGAGCCUAUGUCAGAUUAGCUUGUUGGUGGGGUAAUGGCCUACCAAGGCGACGAUCUGUAGCUGGUCUGAGAGGAUGAUCAGCCACACCGGAACUGAGACACGGUCCGGACUCCUACGGGAGGCAGCAGUGGGGAAUAUUGCACAAUGGGCGCAAGCCUGAUGCAGCAAUGCCGCGUGUGUGAAGAAGGCCUGCGGGUUGUAAAGCACUUUUAUUAGGAAAGAAAAACCCAGGGUUAAUACCCCUGGUCUUGACGGUACCUAAUGAAUAAGCACCGGCUAACUCCGUGCCAGCAGCCGCGGUAGUACGGAGGGUGCAAGCGUUAAUCGGAAUUACUGGGCGUAAAGCGAGUGUAGGCGGCAAUGUAAGUCGGAUGUGAAAGCCCCGGGCUUAACCUGGGAAUUGCAUUCGAUACUGCAUAGCUCGAGUCUGACAGAGGGAUGUGGAAUUCCGGGUGUAGCGGUGAAAUGCGUAGAUAUCCGGAGGAACACCAGUGGCGAAGGCGGCAUCCUGGGUCAAGACUGACGCUGACGCUCGAAAGCGUGGGGAAGCAAACAGGAUUAGAUACCCUGG
rnacentral:rRNA from 1 species